UACAGAGGGUGCAAGCGUUAAUCGGAAUUACUGGGCGUAAAGGGCUUGUAGGCGGCCAAUUAAGUUAGAUGUGAAAACCCCGGGCUUAACCUGGGACGUGCAUUUAAUACUGAUUGGCUAGAGUAUGGUAGAGGAAAGGGGAAUUUCCGGUGUAGCAGUGAAAUGCGUAGAUAUCGGAAGGAACAUCAGUGGCGAAGGCGCCUUUCUGGACUAAUACUGACGCUGAGGAGCGAAGGCGUGGGGAGCAAACAGG
rnacentral:rRNA from 1 species